rnacentral:rRNA from 1 species
GAUGAACGCUGGCGGCGUGCUUAACACAUGCAAGUCGAACGGAAAGGCCCUGCUUUUGUGGGGUGCUCGAGUGGCGAACGGGUGAGUAACACGUGAGUAACCUGCCCUUGACUUUGGGAUAACUUCAGGAAACUCGGGCUAAUACAGGAUAGGAGCUCCUGCUGCAUGGUGGGGGUUGGAAAGUUACGGUGGUUGGGGAUGGUAUCGCGGGUUAUCAGCUUGUUGGUGGGGUAGUGGCUUACCAAGGUUUCGACGGGUAGCCCGCCUGGGAGGGUGGCCAGGCACCAUGGGACUGAGGUACGGCCCAGACGCGUACGGGAGGCAGCGGUGGGAAAUAUUGCACAAUAGGCGGAAGCCUGAUACAACGGCGCCGCGUGCGGAAUGACCGCCUUCGGGUUAUAAACCGCUUUCGCCUGUGACGAAGCGUGAGUGACGGUAAUGGGUAAAAAAGCACCGGCUAACUACGUG